rnacentral:rRNA from 1 species
CGAAAUGACUCUCGGCAACGGAUAUCUCGGCUCUCGCAUCGAUGAAGAACGUAGCGAAAUGCGAUACUUGGUGUGAAUUGCAGAAUCCCGUGAACCAUCGAGUCUUUGAACGCAAGUUGCGCCCGAGGCCACUAGGCCGAGGGCACGUCUGCCUGGGUGUCACGC